AUCUGAAUCGGUAUCGGA
rnacentral:miRNA from 1 species